rnacentral:rRNA from 1 species
CAUGGAGUUUGAUCUGGCUCAGAUUGAACGCUGGCGGCAUGCUUUACACAUGCAAGUCGAACGGUAACAGGUUAAGCUGACGAGUGGCGAACGGGUGAGUAAUGCAUCGGAACGUGCCCGAUCGUGGGGAUAACGCAGCGAAAGCUGCGCUAAUACCGCAUACGAUCUGAGGAUGAAAGCGGGGGACCUUGUAGCAAUACGGGGCCUCGCGCGAUCGGAGCGGCCGAUGUCAGAUUAGGUAGUUGGUGGGGUAAAGGCUCACCAAGCCGACGAUCUGUAGCUGGUCUGAGAGGACGACCAGCCACACUGGGACUGAGACACGGCCCAGACUCCUACGGGGAGCAGCAGUGGGGGAAUUUUGGACAAUGGACGCAAGUCUGAUCCAGCCAUUCCGCGUGCAGGAUGAA